rnacentral:rRNA from 1 species
CAGGCCUAACACAUGCAAGUCGAGGGGUAGAAUUAGCUUGCUAAUUUGAGACCGGCGCACGGGUGCGAAACGCGUCUGCACCCUACCUUGAACAGGGGGAUAGCCCAGAGAAAUUUGGAUUAAUACCCCAUGGUAUAUUGAUAUGGCAUCAUAUUAUUAUUAAAGUCACAACGGUUCAAGAUGGGCAUGCGUCCCAUUAGCUUGUUGGUGGGGUAACGGCUCACCAAGGCGAUGAUGGGUAGGGGUCCUGAGAGGGAGAUCCCCCACACUGGUACUGAGACACGGACCAGACUCCUACGGGAGGCAGCAGUGAGGAAUAUUGGUCAAUGGGCGCAAGACUGAACCACCCAUGCCGCGUGCAGGAAGAAGCAUCUUUGGUGUGUAAACUGCUUUUGUACGGGAAGAAACACUCCUUCGUGAAGGAGCUUGACGGUACCGUAAGAAUAAGAUCGCUAACUCC